UAUAGGUAGGAGAGUGCUUGGGUAGUAGUGGUGUCACAGAAGGCAUGGAGUUUAGAUUCAGGAAAUCUGGAUGUAGACCUCAGCAUACCACUAGCCAUAUGAUGUUGGAAGUAUCCUCAACUGUGAAACAGCUUUCCUGCUCCUCUUUCUGGUCCACAGCUGGUGCUGUUGGUUCAUAUAAGGAGCUUAGAAAUGGAAAACCACUUAAAAUACUGCAAUACCACCAAAGCAAAUGAGCACCUUUUCUCUUUGGUUAUUUUGUUACAUCUUUUUCCUUUUGUUGCUGACCUCGGUGCUUCGGGAGGAAUAGCAAAAGGCAAAAAGACUCCUGUGGAAGGUGGAACUCUUGGUCCGUUUUCCGGAGUGUGUUUCCAAGCCCAUCAAGGAAACUUGAUACUGCUGCUCUGUGUUGAAGUGCUUGAAGAACAUCACCUCUCCGCCGGUGCCCUCCAUCCUGCUGAAACCAUGGUCUUCUCUGCAGUGUUGACUGCUUCCCAUACGGGAGCAUCCAACACAACGUUCGUAGUUUAUGAAAACACCUACAUGAAUAUUACGGUCCCUCCACCCUUCCAGCAUCCCGGCAUUGGUCCACUGCUUAGAUACAGUCUUGGAACCAUAGCUCCCACUGGGAUGAGUUCGUUGACAGUGAAUAGCACAGCCGUGCCCCCAACACCAGCAGUUUUUAAGGGCCUAAACUUGCCUCUGCAAAUCAUCCUUUCUGCUAUAAUGAUAUUUAUUCUGUUUGUGUCUUUUCUUGGGAACUUGGUUGUUUGCCUCAUGGUUUACCAAAAAGCGGCCAUGCGAUCUGCCAUUAACAUCCUCCUGGCCAGCCUGGCUUUUGCAGACAUGUUGCUUGCAGUGCUGAACAUGCCCUUUGCCUUGGUCACUAUUCUCACUACCAGAUGGAUUUUCGGCAAAUUCUUCUGUAGGGUAUCUGCCAUGUUUUUCUGGUUGUUUGUGAUAGAGGGAGUAGCCAUCCUGCUCAUCAUUAGCAUUGACAGGUUUCUUAUUAUAGUCCAGAGGCAGGAUAAGCUAAAUCCGUAUAGGGCUAAGGUUCUCAUCGCAGUUUCUUGGGCAACUUCUUUUUGCGUAGCUCUUCCUUUGGCAGUAGGAAACCCUGACCUGCAGAUACCUUCCCGAGCCCCCCAGUGUGUGUUUGGGUACACGACCAGUCCGGGUUACCAAGCUUAUGUGAUUUUGAUUUCUCUCAUUUCUUUCUUCAUCCCCUUCCUGGUGAUCCUGUAUUCAUUUAUGGGCAUACUCAACACCCUUCGGCACAAUGCCUUGAGGAUCCAUAGCUACCCUGAAGGUAUAUGCCUCAGCCAGGCCAGCAAACUGGGCCUCAUGAGUCUACAGAGACCCUUCCAGAUGAGCAUUGACAUGGGCUUUAAAACGCGUGCCUUCACAACCAUUUUGAUUCUCUUUGCUGUCUUCAUUGUCUGCUGGGCCCCGUUCACCACUUACAGCCUUGUGGCCACGUUCAGCAAGCACUUUUACUAUCAGCACAACUUUUUUGAGAUUAGCACCUGGCUACUCUGGCUCUGCUACCUCAAGUCUGCAUUGAACCCACUAAUCUACUACUGGAGGAUUAAGAAAUUCCAUGACGCCUGCCUGGACAUGAUGCCCAAGUCCUUCAAGUUUUUGCCGCGGCUCCCUGGUCACACGAGGCGACGGAUACGCCCCAGUGCUGUCUACGUGUGUGGGGAACAUCGGACGGUGGUGUGAAUGUGGGAACUGCCUGACAUUUGGGGUGAUGGAUCUUCUUUAUCUGACUUCGAAUUUCCUUUCUCAUGGCUUCUCCACUUAAAAUAUAUUGUUUUUCAUAGGGUGUGUGUAUAUGUGUGUAUGUGUGUGUGCAGUGUAAAGACAGAAUGGUGAUUAGUUAUAAUUCUGUUACCAAGGAUACACAGUAGGGAUGUGAUCACAAGUGUUACCUCCAGGGUUCAAGAGAAAUCCUUGAUUUAGGCUGGAGAGAUGGUUUUCUAUUCCUUCGAUCGAUUUUGUUUUUGUGGUGGGAAUCAGGAUUGUGCUUUAUUGAGCCUGCAGUUACACUGAAUUGUAGGCAUUUUGUAUGCUGCUAAGAAUAUGCUUAGUUGAGUUUAUCAAUUCUUUUAUUUUUUCUGGAAGACACUGCUGCUUUUUGUCAUCACAUUGGAGCCAAAAACCACAUACAUCUCAGUAGAUAAAUAUUUAGUUUUAUUUUAAAAAGUAACCCAUAGGGGUUAGUGACAUUUUAAAGGUCAUUAAUAUUUACUUUGGUGCACUUUAAGAAACAAUGUAUAAACUAAUCCAGUCAUGUUUUUCAGAAUUGUUUUUAUUCAUGACAUGUGCUUUAGGAAACAUCGCAUUAUUUCUAGGAAGAUAGGGUUUUUUUUUUAAUGUUUUAUUUGCAUAUACAGUCUUAAAGGGGAGAACAUAAAAAUGUAGAACUUUUUUCCUAAGCACAAUAGCUUUAGAGCAAUAGGGCAGAGUCAAGGAGAUAGCAGCACUCUUGCAAAUUUAAAAGGGAUGCAGUGACGGGGUGGCUGGUGCAGGCUGUGACGAUUCCAUUUACUCGAGGAUUCUCUGAGUCCAGUGCGGAGAAGGGGCACCAUUUAUUAGACAUCUGCCAUGUGCCAGGCACUGUGCAUCACUUUAUCCUCACAGUGUCCUGUGAGGGAGGGAUUAUUUCUGCCUUUUUACAGAUAAAGAAGGCAAGUUUCAGAGAGACUAAGCCCUGCCCAAGGUUCUCUAGACCUGGGAUCCAAAAAUCUAGAGUCCUGGGUCUUUGCAGUUCCACACACUGUACCACACAGACACCUCCUUCAGGUUUGGACGUUUCAUAGUCAAGAGGAAACUAUGUGUAUCCUUUCAUUUUUUUUUUUAAAGACUAAAACUUUUUUGAAAAUAGCUUCUUUUUUUUGUUGUUGUUUUACUAAAAGAAAUGUGAAGCCAUUACAGAAAGUCUGGAAAAUAGAAAAAAAAAUCACUCAUAACCACCUUUUUAAAGUGGAACUUAAAAAUCUUGACUAAAUAAGGCUAUAAGGAAAUAAGGCGCUUUUUUGGUUUGCAGAACGAGUGACAAUUAUUGAGAACUUAAAUACAGCUGUAUAUAGGUCUUAGCCUUGUGGAUCUGGAUGUUUUCAGUUGUCCAGCUGUAUUUCUCAGUGUUCUGGGCAGAAAGGCAUUGUCACCCCCAGUGCUUGCCCGGAGCAGAGCUGGCCUUUGUGAAUGUCCUCAGAGGCGUGUCUCUAAAAAGAGGUGAAGAUAAGCAGUGGUGCGAGCCUAGAGCAAGUUUUCAGCAGGUCUGGGAUUUGGAAUGACCUUUCUCUUGCUCACGAUCUGCCCCUGCCCCGCCCCAGGUGCAUCCUGAGCCUUACUUAGGUGCCCUUCUCUCUCCAGCCACUGGAACACUUUGUGAAACAGCCCUGGGGGAUGGGGCUUCAGACUGAGGCCGUAAGUGCUGAAGUGUAGCCUCGUGGCUACACCAUGGGCUUUAUAAAUCGGCAGGUUAACCAGGAACACUUUUUGGAUGUAUAGUAUCUUUUCAGAAUUUCAGUGCUUUGUGACCAGUAGACAGCGAGCCUUCAUUUCUUCAGUUGUACAACCGGAGAGUUGGAUUCUCUGAACCUUGAAGGUCUUGUCCAACUCUGAUGUGAAAGUAGAGAUUUUGAAGAGCCCAGCUGACGUCAGCAUUGCUCUUUGGUCUCCGGUAUUAUUUCUUUACAUUUCACUUCAGUAGAUGUUUCUUAAAAUUGAAUGUCUGAAGAGCACAGGGCACCAUAUCAGGAGUUAGGACUUUGGAAGGUGGAUGACAUCCUGAAGGACCUGGGAAACCCUGCUCUUGGGCAAUUGUCAUGGUAUGAGAACCCGUUUUCCAGUAAACUUCCUUUUUGGGAUUCAAGUAUGUUAUUCAACAUGUUGCUUGAGGGUCAUCUUCUGAUGAUAGUCACCUACCUCUUUGGUUUCUCAUUCGUAUUACUCACAGGUAAAAUUGCUUUUAUCCAUAGGGAUCUUAUAGGACGUAAACACUGUAGUAGAUAUCACUAGCACACUGAAGUGUAUCAUGCUUUUCAUUUUCAAUAUUAACUAGAUUUCAAGGAGAUGUUAAUAAGUAUAUUUGAAAUUAGACUUUCUCUGGAGGAAAGUCAGCAUGAUUUGUAUUCAUCUUACGUAUUGGCAGUGGGUCUUGAGACUCCUUUUGUGGUUGGAGUUGAAACUGACCUUUGUUGUCUUUGUCCUAUUUUUAUGAGCAAUCCUUGGGUAGUUUUGUGCUGCCUGGCAGGUGCUGCAUCGUCUGGUGAGAGCUCUGGAGUGCCUGCUAAGAGGCUCGGUGUUUGUGAAAGAAGGCCACGAAGGGCCUUUGGAGAAUUCAGGCAUAACACCGGACAGCAGUUCUCUUUACACUGGAUCAUCUCAAUCUGAGGACAGUUUACAAACCAUUUUGAACGUUUUCAUUAUGUAUACAUUUGGAAAGCUUUAAAACAAAGUACUGUGGUGUACCUUUGAAAAAUUUAGGUGCAGAAUCAUAUGCUGCCUAUUCUUCUAUAUUUUCUUGAGGGGAAAAAAAGUACCACUACUGUUAUCACCACAGGCUGAAUAAUCAGAAAUGUUUUUGCUUUUGUUUUUGUUUCUGGCUAGUAAGUAAGAAGCAUGAAAGAGAGAAUGAAAUAUCUGUGGUCAGAAGAAAGAGUCAAAAGAAACCCCCAAUAGUCUGGAAUAGUGAUACUCAGACUUUAAUCUGAAUUUGUGUCUAAGCGUUCCCAUGGGGGGCUUGUGAACAGUUCAGAUCCCCAGGGCCCCUGGAGGGUCUGCAAUUGGGCUCAGGAAUGCACACUUUUAUUCUGUUGGGUGUUUGGCCUGAUUCUGGUUCAGGUGGUCUCUGGGGCAUACUCUAAAAACACUUUCCUGUGGAAAAUAUAUCCACUUAAAAUAUUGUCUGUUUUAUUCAAAAAAUGUCUGUUUUGUGUUGGAAGCCAUUAUCUCCUAGUCCGUGGGCAACCCGCAGCAAGAGGAACAUCUGUGUAUCUACCAUUUGCCGCCUCGUGUGUCUGCGCCGGGUCUCACCAGCAUCGGCUUCACCGUCUUUCAACUGGCAAAAUUCUGAUAAACCGUAUAGUUUCACAGUAGAACAAAAAAAGUGACUUAAUAUUUGAAAGUCUCUCAGGAGUCUGAUUCCUCUAAUAUUUCUUUUCUCAUGAGGUGGAAAGAGGUCCUUACUGUGUGUAACUUCCUGAAGGGGAUGAGAGGAGUGCAAAGAUUCACCUGAUUCCUGCUGCUCUGCUUACGCCAGUCCUGUUCAAUGGAAGCAUGAAGAAAAUAAAAUAACCAUUUUAAUCUACACAUUUCGGUUGCUGACAAGGAUAUUUAACUUAAUUUUUUCUUGAUCUUUGCUUUUGUUUACAUGAAAAUAUUUAUGUAUAGAUCACAGGAAAAAAAAGUGUUCACUGGCUUGACAUUUUUAUUCUUCCAUGAUUUUUAGUUUAAGUUUAAAGAACUGCUUAAUUCCAAUUUAUUUUCACAACCAUAGUCUUCAUUGAAAACUCAAUUUUUAUAAUAAUAAAUGAAGACAUCAAAGCACAUGUUUGUUAUUACAGGUAAAUGGUGAUACAUUUCUUAGGUAUAUAUUGGUACUAGUCCUUUGUAAUUAAAAUUAAUUUAUUUUACAAUAGUACCGACCUAUAUGAAAAAAACACUUUGAAUUUUGGGUUGGUUGUAAUAUUAAGAAAUCAAAAGUUAUGAUUAUUUGUGUAUAUUCUUAUUACAACCAGGAAAAGAGCUCCCAAUAAGAAGAUGAAUAAAAGUUUACCAUUUCUAAAAGAAGGUUGGUUUACAAAAGAAGGUUGUCAUUCGAUCUACAUCUGAUAGUUCCUCCUGAAAUGGAAAGUUCAUCACCCAAACUUUACCACUAAAAAAACCAACUGAGCUUGUGGACAAAGGGACACAGGCAGGUCAGUGUGAGGAGGCCAGGAGCAGCUGCUCCCCAGUGUGGAGGCAGGCGGUCUGUUGUCUGCAGCCUGGACAUAAACCUCCGAGGGCAUCUGAGCUGGGUCUCCAUACCCACAGCUUGUCUGGAUUCGUCUGAUGAACAAAGUAGCUGCAAAUGCACAGAAGACGUUUCUCUCUGACGGGAAGAAAGAUGGAGUUUUCUUGGAUGACUUCCCCAAAGGGUGGAGGAGGACAUGACUCAUGGUGCAUUGACGAGCAGAUACAGAUGGACUGAUAACAGAAGUAAAAGCUGCUACUUCCUGCUGCUUAUGCAAAGGCCAUCCUCAGCCUGUCAUUUUCUGCGGCUCCACACAGCCCCUGAUGGUAGAACAGCUCUCCCCAAGGUUACGGAGGAUGCUGCAUCAGCAAAAUGAGAAGUUAUAGCUAGAAAGAAGACACGGUGUCCAGAGAACAGAGAUUCAACUCAAGAGUUGCAAGAAGGGAAGCAUCAGGAUGAUGAAGCAGAAAGGCAAAAUGGAAAAUCCUUCAUGCCCUACAAGAUGCGUCCCAUUAGGAGGACCAAUCUUAGAACAAGAGAGAUGCAGGAAAGAGAAGCCAACGCAAGGUUAUCUCGUUGCCCAUCAAGAACCAAACCCUUCAGAACCUCCUCUGGCUGUUGGCACAAUUCCAUGAGCACUACAGUUUCCUGAGAAGCCUGAAGCUGGCACCUUAAAUGUGUUACUGCUAAAUAAGUAGAAUGUGAGACAUUACAUAUCCAGUUUUGGUGAUGGAAGAUACCCAAGUAAUUGUCAUAAAUAUGCAAAUAUUCCCACCCUGAGCUCUGUGGAGGCUCAGGAGGAUGGAUUCAGGAGCGUCUUCUGCCUCCUGCCUGCAGUCCUUCAUGAGCCUUGUGGUUAUGCAGAAGGUCCACUCACCAGGACAAGGAACGUGGCUGGCAGAACGACUGCUUCUCUCAGAGGAUCAGCAGCUUAAAUUUGGUGCCUUGGGUAGCAUCGGCUUUAUGUUAAUUUUUAGUCCUCCUUCACUUUUUCUCCUGCUGUUUAUGAAAAGGUGUUUUAUUAUGUGAUUUGAUUCUGUUUGAAAUGAAGGCAGUAGGAGUCCCAGAGCUGAAAGAAGAUGCUGACGCUUGCAGCCCUCCUGGGUCUCCUUCUGCCUGAGAUGACAGUGCCCAGGCCCCAGCUAUGACAAGGAAGGAACAUGUCAGGUUCUGAUCGUCCUUUGCAUCCCCACCACUGCAUUUUCUUGUAGAAUGUGUUUAGUGCAAUUUAACAUUCUACUGUAAAGACAAUUUUCAAGAACUUGGUAAUAAUAGUUAUUAUUUUGUAAUUGGAGGUUACUACUGUUACUCCUGUUAAUGCAUUUUCUUUCCUGAAAGGAGACAGCACUGUCACAACAUGUCAAAAUGGUCAGUUUACUUUUCUCUCUCCUUCACCGUAUUUAAUUUUUUCCCCAUUGUUUCUGCAUCACCUGGAACUGCGAUGGGUACAGAGUAAACUGUUCAAUAAAUAUUGGCUGGAGGAGUGAAUGAUGAGGUCCUACGAAAUUAGCGGGACACAGAUGACAGGGAUGCAGCCAAAUACUUACAGACUUAGGCUGGUGAAAAGUGGUAUUAUUUGCAUGUGUUCUCCCCCACCUUCAACCUGCUCUUAGUUAACCGCAUCAUAUCCUUUGGGGAAAAUGAGUUUCUCAGGGAAGCCUUCUUUCAUGCUAUUUAUCUUUUAAGCUUUAUAAGUGCAGAGACCAAGGGGUUUUUGCCCAGCAUUCUAUUCCUGGCACUCAGUAGAGAGCCUGGCAUAUUACAGACACACAAUAAAUAUUUGCUGAAAAAUUACUCUACGUUCUGACUGCGCCUCUUUUCUCUACCUACUACCAAAGUGUCUAGACACUCAUCACAUUUCGUUUAGAACACUUCCGUGAUCUUCCUGCCGGACUUUCAUCCAGCCAGUCCACACUAGAAUUGGAUGCACACAGCUGCCAAAGUAAUUUUCACCAAGCUGUGUUCACGCCAUAAACUUCCUUAAGUCACCUUCAAAUUCCUCCUAUUUAUUAACUUGUAAACAGGGACAUUUAAGUUUUACACCAGUUGGUCGCCAUUAUCUUUUGAAAUCUCGUUUCUCCAUAGAAGUUCUUUGCACCACUCAAGCCAUUUUUGCUUUGUCUUUAAAUGUGUGCCUGCUUCUCUCUGGUUGUACCGACCAUCUUGUCUUUCUCUCCGUCAUGAAGGUUCAGGUCUUCAGAGUCAUGCUUUUUUGCAUAUCCCAUGUGCCUUACAGGUGUGGAAAAGACCCGGUACAUGUUUUAGCUCUAUGGAAGAUGAGCCCUCAAUAUUAAACAAAUAACAUGAGGAAAUGAAGCACACAGAGAGAGACUUGAAGUUAUCCAACAAUCUCCAUGAAACUGUUAAAUAAGCUGAUCAUAGGAAUAAAGGCUUCCUUGACUCCAGCAGGGAAAAGGGGAGAAAAGGAGCAGAAAGUGGGGGUCCCCACAGUGCUGCGUCACUGCUGCUGCACUGAUGCUCUGAGCUGGAGGAGGGAUGGAUGGAGGAUGAGUCUUGGAAGUGAGUGGGGGCACCUGGGGGUAGUGGGGGUGGAAGAUAAGUAAAGGCAGCUAAGGAUGAGCUCAGCUAUGUUCAAUCAGCUGGUGGAAGUGAAGGGCCCGCAGCCUGGUGAGAAUAUCCAACUAUUGUAGAAAGAAAUCAGAAGUCUAUCUUUGAAGUCUUGAGAAGUCCAUCUUACUAAAACUAAAUUGCCACUCAAGAUGUGUGGUGAUAUCCAUGGUCUAUCCAUCAUGGUUUUUGCCUUUUUUAAUAUGAUAGUUUGCCUCUGAAGACAGUUGGUUUUUUGAGACUAUAAGAUGAUCUUACCCCUUUGUAGUCUUUGCCUUUAAGUGGUGUAUUUAGAUCAUUCACAUUUAAAGUGAUUAUUGAUAUAGUUUGCUUCAUACCUGGCAUGUUUGUAACUGUUUUCUGUCAGUUGUUAUGUGGUCAGGCCAUUCAAGAUGACUGUUCUCUUGCUCUCUGUACAUCACCUGCUCAACCAGUGCCUGCCUCACCUACAGCUACACACGCGACUGACCUUCCUACAGACUUGCCUCAGCCUCAGCUGGUAAUUGUUCUAAGCUUUAGAUCAUAACAUCUCUACCUAUCAAAAGGGUGGUGAGGGGCGUGACCCUCUGCUAGUUUCCCUGGUAACUGAUAAGCCAAUCUGACAUCAAUUCCCCCUAUAACUGGCAAUCCUUCCCUCCUCUCUGGGAGCAAAGACUGCCGCCAUGUCCUGCCUGCUAUCUGCCACACGUAGUAGGGUGUACUUCCAGGACCUUGCUUCAGACAUGUAAGUUCCCCCUACCCAUUAAACCACUGAUUUCUCUUUUACUGACCCUGGGCUCUUUCUUCGGGCUUGAAGCUGGGCAAAUGGAGGCCUUACAGGCCUGCUGGCUGCAGCCCAACAAUUGGUGGAACCGCCAGGAAAGCUAGGAAGCUCCUGUGAGCGCCGAAAUGUCAGGAAACAAGAAUGGGGAAUGGAAAGUUGCAGGGGCCAUCCACUAACAUGUGUGGCCUGGAAGUUAUGGGUGUAAUUCUGAGGUGGCCGUCCACUAACACGUGUGGCCCAAAAGUUCCAGGGGUAACCCCGAAAGUUUCAGGGGUCAUCCUGGGGUGGCCAUCCAGGAAUAUGUGGGGCCCUGUGGUGGCUGUCCUUGGUGAGUGGGGGCCACCAAGAGAGUGCAAAGUCAGAGACUCCCCCUCCCCAGACUGUGGUGGAGAUGUUGGCCGCCACUGCAGUGGGGAAAUAAGUUAGGCAGUGGGGCAGUGGCCGCAGCUGCAGGGGGCCUGUUGCUUUUUGUAUUAAGAAGGGCCACAGAGGCUGAGCUUACAGUCAAAGGGAAGGUUAACUUGAAUGUGGAUUCUUGUUCCUCUGAAAGUGAGGCAUGUGAAUGUGAGUGAAUGAUAUGUAUUAUUGUCUAUUACUGUUAUUUGUUUAAACUGAA